rnacentral:rRNA from 1 species
UACGAAGGGGGCUAGCGUUGCUCGGAAUCACUGGGCGUAAAGGGUGCGUAGGCGGGUCUUUAAGUCAGAGGUGAAAUCCUGGAGCUCAACUCCAGAACUGCCUUUGAUACUGAAGAUCUUGAGUUCGGGAGAGGUGAGUGGAACUGCGAGUGUAGAGGUGAAAUUCGUAGAUAUUCGCAAGAACACCAGUGGCGAAGGCGGCUCACUGGCCCGAUACUGACGCUGAGGCACGAAGGUCAGGGGAGCAAACGGGG